rnacentral:rRNA from 1 species
UACGAGGGGGGCGAGCGUUGUUCGGAAUUAUUGGGCGUAAAGGGUGCGUAGGCGGUUCCGCAAGUCCUGUGUGAAAUCUUCGGGCUCAACUCGAAGUCUGCACGGGAAACGUGCGGGGCUUGAGUGUGGGAGAGGUGAGUGGAAUUCCCGGUGUAGCGGUGAAAUGCGUAGAUAUCGGGGAGGAACACCUGUGGCGAAAGCGGCUCACUGGACCAUAACUGACGCUGAUGCGACGAAAAGCUGGGGGGAGCAAACAGG